rnacentral:misc_RNA from 1 species
GUGAGCUUAAUUGUUAGACUAUGACUAAAAGUUUGUAGGAAAUGUACUAACAUGGCCAAAAUUUGAAUUCAAGUGACUCAAAUGAAAUAUAGCCGACUUUCAAGUACACCUAUUCUGUAUAGAGUUUUAUUUUGUCAUUCAGUUUUCUCAUUCAAGAUUGCUGCAGUGCUAAUCUUCAAAAUUGUAUGUAAUGGAAAAAGUCAUGAUUAGAUAAUGGCAUCUAGAUUUUUACCUUGAACUUAUAUGCACUUUUUUAAUGUGGUUCAUGAACAAUAAUAGUGACCAUUCCUACCUUCUGUUCACAUUAGCUACUCUUUGGUAUUGAGAUGGCACUAUUUAGUCCUAUGUGCUGAAGUCCCAAGAAAUUGCUGAUAGGAUCCGAAUUAAUUUCCAGCAAAGUAACUGAUUAAUUAUUGAGAGACACGUGCGAUUGUCCUGCAAAAAGCAGGAAGUGAUUUCAGAGAUAAAUAUUAGUCCAUUACUUGCUGCGAGUCCACUAAUAUUAGUCCAUUACUUGCUGUGAGCCCACUUACCAUGUCAACAUUGAGUCAAUGUUUUUAAUAAUCAACCCCAGCACUAAUGUAAUACUGGAGAUUAGCUUAGGUGUUAGAAAGUAUAAAUUAAGUUGUCACCUUUGUAAUCGUCUAGUACUAGAUUGUGUAAAAUUAUUGUUCAAGUACCACGUUGCAAAAGUUUAUUGAACUUAUGUUAAAAAUCUGGAUUUAUGCCUUAGAUAAUCCUAAAGAUCUAGGGAAGGUUCUUGUAAUUGUGAGAUUUUGCAUGAUUUCACCGUUGGCUUUCCCAGGUUUCCUUAAUUUUGUUUGAAUUGUAGAUACAAUUCAGAUUCUUUGUCAACUUUAAAACUAGGAACUGUUGCUGUAGCUUUACUAACUUUAUAUUGCAGAUGGAAUAUUCUGUUUGUCUAGUUACGUGAGAUAUAUUCUGAUUGUCAUGUUGGAAUCUCUUAAAUAGGAUGUUUAUGUUGGGUGUGUCGUAAUUCACGUACUGGAUGGUGGUGAAGCUGUCUCCUAAAUAAGAAGAUAUCCAGGUGUAGUGACAAGUUU